CCUACGGGCGGCAGCAGUGAGGAAUAUUGGUCAAUGGGCGCGAGCCUGAACCAGCCAAGUAGCGUGAAGGAUGACUGCCCUACGGGGUGUAAACUUCUUUUAUAAAGGAAUAAAGUGAGGCACGGGUGCCUUUUUGUAUGUACUUUAUGAAUAAGGAUCGGCUAACUCCGUGCCAGCAGCCGCGGUAAUACGGAGGAUCCGAGCGUUAUCCGGAUGUCGUGGGUUUAAAGGGAGCGUAGAUGGGUUGUUAAGUCAGUUGUGAAAGUUUGCGGAUCAACCGUAAAAUUGCAAUUGAUACUGGCAGCCUUUAGUUCAGUUGAGGUAGGCGGAAUUCGUGGUGUAGCGGUGAAAUGCUUAGAUAUCACGAAGAACUCAGAUUGCGAAGGCAGCCUACUAAACUGCCACUGACAUUGAUGCUCGAAAGUGUGGGUAUCAAACAGGAUUAGAUACCCGAGUAGUC
rnacentral:rRNA from 1 species